CUAACAAGGAUUCCCCUAGUAACUGCGAGUGAAGCGGGAAAAGCUCAAAUUUGAAAUCUGGCAGUCUUUUUUUUCUUCUUUGGCUGUCCGAGUUGUAAUCUAGAGAAGUGCUUACCUGCACUGGACCAUGUAUAAGUCUCCUGGAAUGGAGCGUCACAGAGGGUGAGAAUCCCGUCUUUGACAUGGACCGCCAGUGUGUUGUGGUGUGCUCUCAAAGAGUCGAGUUGUUUGGGAAUGCAGCUCUAAAUGGGUGGUAAACUCCAUCUAAAGCUAAAUAUUGGCGAGAGACCGAUAGCGAACAAGUACCGUGAGGGAAAGAUGAAAAGGACUUUGGAAAGAGAGUUAAACAGUAUGUGAAAUUGUUGAAAGGGAAACGCUUGAAGUCAGUUAUGUUGGCUAGGGAUCAACCUAGCUGUUUUUUGCUGGGUGAAUUUCCUAGUCUGACAGGCCAACAUCAGUCUUGACUGCUGGAAAAGAGCAGAGGGAAUGUGGCACCUUUGGGUGUGUUAUAGCCUUUUGUCAUAUGUGGCAGUUGGGACUGAGGGAUGCAGCAUGCCGCGAGGCUGGGUUUCUGACCACGUUCAUGCUCAGGAUGUUGGCUUUUAAUGGCUUCAAUCGACCCGUCUUGAAACACGGACCAAGGAGUCUAACAUGCCUGCGAGUGUUUGGGUGGGGAAAACCCUUGUGCACAAUGAAAGUGAAAGUUGAGAUCCCUGUCAUGGGGAGCAUCGACGCCCGGACCUGAGCUUUUAGCGACGGAUCCGCGGUAGAGCAUGCAUGUUGGGACCCGAAAGAUGGUGAACUAUGCCUGAAUAGGGCAAAGCCAGAGGAAACUCUGGUGGAGGCUCGUAGCGAUUCUGACGUGCAA
rnacentral:rRNA from 1 species